AUGCUGAGACCAGAAAAUACAGUGAUAGAAAAUGUCUCUGAACUUAUUGAUCAGGAGAACUGGACAUGGAAUCAGCAGUUGGUAAGAGAUACCUUCAUCUUGACAGACGCGAAUGCUAUAUUAAAUAUCCCAAUUCGGCAAGGUGGAGGUGAUGAUUUUCUAGCUUGGGAUUUUGAGAAGAUAGGCAACUACACUGUUAAAUCGGCGUACCGUGCUCUCGUGAAUCAAAAAGAGCGCAUAGCUCUAGAUGAAGGGACGGCUACCGGCACCUCAACGAGCGAUCAACAGAUGUGGAGUGCACUUUGGAAGCUGAAUGUUGUACCCAAGGUGAGAGUGUUC
rnacentral:rRNA from 1 species